UACGAAGGGGGCUAGCGUUGCUCGGAAUUACUGGGCGUAAAGCGCACGUAGGCGGAUUGUUAAGUCGGGGGUGAAAUCCUGGAGCUCAACUCCAGAACUGCCUUCGAUACUGGGAGUCUUGAGUUCGGGAGAGGUGAGUGGAACUGCGAGUGUAGAGGUGAAAUUCGUAGAUAUUCGCAAGAACACCAGUGGCGAAGGCGGCUCACUGGCCCGAUACUGACGCUGAGGUGCGAAAGCGUGGGGAGCAAACA
rnacentral:rRNA from 1 species